GAACCCCCAAAUUCAAACCUUAUCGUGCAAUUCCCAAAUUCAAACCUUAUUCAAACAUCUUCACCCCCAAAUUCAAAACCCUCGUCCGCCACCCUAAUCGUGCAAUUCCCUCAGGUGACCUCGAUCAUCAUUCAUCCUCAAAUUGAAUAUCUCUAGCCCCACCGCCCUACCUUCCUCACACCGUGCGACAUCUCCUCUGCGUGAGUCCACAGCGCCGUCUACUCUGAAUUGCUGUAUCGACCGUCAAAGUCUGUUGCGCCGUCGAGCUCUGAAUCGCUCUCCACCGACGUGCGCCGUCGAGAUCGAGUCUCUCACCUGUAUUGUAGCUCCUAAAUUGAAUUACUAUCCACCGUCGCGCUAUCUCCGGUUGUUGAUUCCAACGAUGAUCCUAGCUAGCAGAUUUAGUUGAGAGUGAAUUCUUGGGAGAAUAGGUAAAAUAAAUUACUCAAGAUGACAGAUGACAAGAUGAAUAGAGGAGAUGGUGCUCUAAGAGGAGAUAGCCUUUGAGUCUUCUAGCAGCACUGGCCACGUCACAAUGAGGUUUUGGAAUUAGCAUCGAACUUUCUUCCUCUGAGCUUGCAUGGAUUCUUGAUUUACAGCGAUUGUGAUGCGUGGUAAUGUGGUGAAUACCUCUACGUUUAUUACCAAAUGCUUUUAAUUUCUUGAUUGUUAACUUGUAAUUGUAGUUUUUGUACUCUGUAACUUUUACCCUUAAAAGACAACUCUUGUUUUUCUUUUUCAGCUUCAAUGAAGUGGUAAUGUCUGUAGUUCAAAGUGUUGCAUCAUUGAUUUUAGAAGCUGUCUUGCCUUUGGGAAAAAGAAGUGAAUAAAAUUUGUGGUGGUGAAAUUCUGCAUAGUUCAAUACUAACUAUGGUUCCAAAUUUAGAUUAGUCAUCUACUCAUAAACUAAUUUUGAUGUUCCUUGGCUUUGAGGUAAACAUCAUUGCUUUAACUAUUUGAAUGCUUGAGAUGCUGCAGAUUUCAAAAAAAAAAAAAAAAAGACAAUCUUGCCAGGGGAUAUCAAGAUGGCAGAUUUCAAGCAAUUUCUUGUGGUCAAGGGAUUCAGAUAAAGAACUUGGAUCCUUUGCCCAGGCAUGCUAUUGCUGCUGCCCACACUGCCCACUCCAAAUCUUUAAGGUGAAUUUGAUCCUUCAAGACUUUACUGUUUAUAUUUGGUUGGGGCUAUACCACAAGUGCGUUCAUUUCAUAUUUUCAACAGACAAACAUGACAAGUUUCCAGUUAAUGUCGAAUCUAAGCUUUUAUCUUUUCAACCUGAAGGUAUCAAGUUCAUAUUGCAGCAUGGAGUGGGGAUCCUUUUCGAUGAUGAAAUGGGGCUAGAAAGAGUCUUUAGGCACUAGGCUUUUUAUAAGUUUGUGCUUUGUUCCUUAUAUUUUCUUAAUCUAGAUCUUGUUGUCAAGAUAGAUUUGUGUAUAACAACUUUGGAAAAUGAAUUUCAUUUUCUGUAUUGCAAAUCAAUAAAAUAUACUAUUUGU